GUAUAGAACCUACCUUAUAUUGGGGGAUAGCCCAGAGAAAUUUGGAUUAAUACCCCAUGGUAUGUUGAAGUGGCAUCACUUUAAUAUUAAAGAUUUAUCGAUAUAAGAUGGCUAUGCGUUCUAUUAGCUAGUUGGUUAGGUAGCGGCUAACCAAGGCUACGAUAGAUAGGGGUCCUGAGAGGGAGAUCCCCCACACUGGUACUGAGACACGGACCAGACUCCUACGGGAGGCAGCAGUGAGGAAUAUUGGACAAUGGAGGCAACUCUGAUCCAGCCAUGCCGCGUGCAGGAAGACUGCCCUAUGGGUUGUAAACUGCUUUUAUAGAGGAAGAAACCGCUCUACGUGUAGAGCUCUGACGGUACUCUACGAAUAAGGAUCGGCUAACUCCGUGCCAGCAGCCGCGGUAAUACGGAGGAUCCAAGCGUUAUCCGGAAUCAUUGGGUUUAAAGGGUCCGUAGCGGGUUUGUAAGUCAGUGGUGAAAGUUUUCGGCUCAACCGGAAAAUUGCCAUUGAUACUGCAAGUCUUGAAUCGUUGUGAAGUGGUUAGAAUGUGUAGUGUAGCGGUGAAAUGCAUAGAUAUUACACAGAAUACCGAUUGCGAAGCAGAUCACUAACAAUGUAUUGACGCUAAGGGACGAAAGCGUGGGUAGCGAACAGGAUUAGAUACCCUGGUAGUCCACGCCGUAAACGAUGGUUACUAGCUGUUCGGAUUUCGGUCUGAGUGGCUAAGCGAAAGUGAUAAGUAACCCACCUGGGGAGUACGUUCGCAAGAAUGAAACUCAAAGGAAUUGACGGGGG
rnacentral:rRNA from 1 species